GCCCGCUUGGCUUAGUGGUACAGCGUCUCACUCGUAAUUCUGCUUGCGACAUGAGAAGAUCCUCGGUUCGAUUCCGAGAGUGGGCA